rfam:Triticum aestivum genome assembly, contig: Triticum_aestivum_CS42_TGACv1_scaffold_306711_4AS
UAUAUACUCCCUCCGUCCGAAAAUACUUGUCCUAGAAAUGGUUGUAUCUAGACUUAUUUUAGUUAUAGAUACAUCCAUUUUAUCCAUUUCUAGGACAAGUAUUUCCGGACGGAGGGAGUACAUC